GGAAGUAAAAUCGUAACAAGGUUUCCGUAGGUGAACCUGCGGAAGGAUCAUUAUUGUAUAACCGAGGUGCGAGGGCUGUCGCUGACCCGAAAGGUCGUGCACGCCCGAGUGCCCUCACACACAUCCAUCUCACCCCUAUGUGCACCACCGCGUGGGUCCCCCUUUGGCUUGUUCGGAGGGGGGCUUACGUUUUCACACAAACUUUGUAUGCAGUGUAGAAUGUAUUUUUUGUUUUUGCGAUCACGCAAUCAAUACGACUUUCAACAACGGAUCUCUUGGCUCUC
rnacentral:misc_RNA from 1 species